rnacentral:rRNA from 1 species
CCUACGGGAGGCAGCAGUGGGGGAUAUUGCACAAUGGGGGAAACCCUGAUGCAGCGACGCCGCGUGUGGGAAGACGGUCCUCUGGAUUGUAAACCACUGUCCCCAGGGACGAAGAUGACGGUACCUGGGGAGGAAGCUCCGGCUAACUACGUGCCAGCAGCCGCGGUAAUACGUAGGGAGCAAGCGUUGUCCGGAAUUACUGGGUGUAAAGGGAGCGUAGGCGGGAUGGCAAGUUGGGUGUUAAAUCUACCGGCUCAACUGGGAGUCGCACUGAAAACUGCUAUUCUUGAGUGAAGUAGAGGUAGGCGGAAUUCCUGGUGUAGCGGUGAAAUGCGUAGAUAUUAGGAAGAACACCGGUGGCGAAGGCGGCCUGCUGGGCUUUUACUGACGCUGAGGCUCGAAAGUGUGGGGAGCGAACAGGAUUAGAUACCCUAGUAGUC